UACAGAGGGUGCAAGCGUUAAUCGGAAUUACUGGGCGUAAAGCGCGCGUAGGUGGUUUGUUAAGUUGGAUGUGAAAGCCCCGGGCUCAACCUGGGAACUGCAUCCAAAACUGGCAAGCUAGAGUACGGUAGAGGGUGGUGGAAUUUCCUGUGUAGCGGUGAAAUGCGUAGAUAUAGGAAGGAACACCAGUGGCGAAGGCGACCACCUGGACGAAGAUUGACGCUGAGGCGCGAAAGCGUGGGGAGCAAACAGG
rnacentral:rRNA from 1 species